ncrna:unclassified sequences EGFOA RNA
AGUUCCCCAGAUUUUGUCCCGUCGUAGAAGGCUGUCGAAACAAACUCAUCUGAGUGGUAGGUAAAGCUACACCUGGGCUACCUUAAUAGAUUUAUUAUGAAGUUUCGAU